rnacentral:rRNA from 1 species
UGGGGAAUUUUGCACAAUGGGGGAAACCCUGAUGCAGCGACGCCGCGUGAUUUAGAAGGCCUUCGGGUUGUAAAAAUCUUUUCUAUGGGAAGAAAAUGACAGUACCAUAGGAAUAAGGACCGGCUAAUUACGUGCCAGCAGCCGCGGUAAUACGUAAGGUCCGAGCGUUGUCCGGAAUCAUUGGGCGUAAAGGGUACGUAGGCGGGUAAGCCAGUUAGAAGUGAAAUCCUAUAGCUCAACUAUAGUAAGCUUUUAAAACUGCUCAUCUUGAGGUAUGGAAGGGAAAGUGGAAUUCCUAUUGUAGCGGUGAAAUGCGCAGAUAUUAGGAGGACUACCGGUGGCGAAGGCGACUUUCUGGCCAUAACCUGACGCUGAGGUACGAAAGCGUGGGUAGCAAACAGG